rnacentral:rRNA from 1 species
CCUACGGGAGGCAGCAGUGGGGAAUUUUGGACAAUGGGCGAAAGCCUGAUCCAGCAAUGCCGCGUGCAGGAUGAAGGCCUUCGGGUUGUAAACUGCUUUUGUACGGAACGAAACGGUCUUUUCUAAUACAGAAGGCUAAUGACGGUACCGUAAGAAUAAGCACCGGCUAACUACGUGCCAGCAGCCGCGGUAAUACGUAGGGUGCAAGCGUUAAUCGGAAUUACUGGGCGUAAAGCGUGCGCAGGCGGUUAUGUAAGACAGUUGUGAAAUCCCCGGGCUCAACCUGGGAAUUGCAUCUGUGACUGCAUAGCUAGAGUACGGUAGAGGGGGAUGGAAUUCCGCGUGUAGCAGUGAAAUGCGUAGAUAUGCGGAGGAACACCGAUGGCGAAGGCAAUCCCCUGGACCUGUACUGACGCUCAUGCACGAAAGCGUGGGGAGCAAACAGGAUUAGAUACCCUGGUAGUCCACGCCCUAAACGAUGUCAACUGGUUGUUGGGUCUUCACUGACUCAGUAACGAAGCUAACGCGUGAAGUUGACCGCCUGGGGAUACGGCCGCAAGGUUGAAACUCAAAGGAUUGACGGCNGAGAGNGCGAGACGACGACGAGGGAGGAGG